GUGUGCGUAAUUUAAAAAAAAUACCAAGCUGUGAUCUUGGCAAUAGAAACACUUCUCACACAUG
rnacentral:tRNA from 1 species